GACGAACGCUGGCGGCGUGCUUAACACAUGCAAGUCGAACGAAGAGCGACGGAAGCUUGCUUCUAUCAAUCUUAGUGGCGAACGGGUGAGUAACGCGUAAUCAACCUGCCCUUCAGAGGGGGACAACAGUUGGAAACGACUGCUAAUACCGCAUACGAUCUAAUCUCGGCAUCGAGGAUAGAUGAAAGGUGGCCUCUACAUGUAAGCUAUCACUGAAGGAGGGGAUUGCGUCUGAUUAGCUAGUUGGAGGGGUAACGGCCCACCAAGGCGAUGAUCAGUAGCCGGUCUGAGAGGAUGAACGGCCACAUUGGGACUGAGACACGGCCCAGACUCCUACGGGAGGCAGCAGUGGGGAAUCUUCCGCAAUGGACGAAAGUCUGACGGAGCAACGCCGCGUGAGUGAUGACGGCCUUCGGGUUGUAAAGCUCUGUUAAUCGGGACGAAAGGCCUUCUUGCGAAUAGUGAGAAGGAUUGACGGUACCGGAAUAGAAAGCCACGGCUAACUACGUGCCAGCCGCCGCG
rnacentral:rRNA from 1 species